AGCGGCGACUCGGGGACGACGGGGCAGGACGCGAAAAGCACGCGGAGUGCCCUGCUGAGCAGCGUCCUGGAUGCUGUCCUGGAACGUCAACAUGAUGCUGCUGUUCCGCUCUCAAAAGGGAUGCGUCUCCUCUCUGGUGCUCUCCUCGCAGCAGAAGGUGCAAGACGGGGCCUUCGGGGAGGAGACGCCGCGGGAGGCCCCACAGUGGACUUUGGCAAAGGUGCUUGUGAGUAUUUGUUACACCUUCGUAUCACACUCCUCGCCUCUAGCAGCACUCGGGUGCAAAACAAUUUCAGUAUUUUCAAAGGCAACACGCUUGAGUAUAAUGCAUCUUAUGGUUACAUGCUUGCAAAAGAUGGGAGCUGCGUGUGUUCCAUAGUUGUGGUCAAAACCUUUUAUGCCCAUACAUUUAUUCUGUACUAUUAACUAUUGUGAGCGUUACGAUGAACGCUGUUAUGUAAACGUGACUAACUGCAGAAAGACAUACUAUUCAAAUUCUCGCAACAGACACAGCAGGUGAAGACUGCAUUUAAUUUGACAUCAAGUCAAUAGAGGAACACGAAAUCCCAGGCUUUCAGUACUUUUCCAAGCUUCUUUCUUUGCUUGCAGAAACGCAUCUUCAGUGCUCGUCCAUAAUCACAAUCAUGUAUCCCUCAAGCCACAGUGACACUGUGACGAUUCCUGUUCAUUCCACUUCUGACUCAGACAUGCCUGCCAGUUUACCGAAGAGAAAUCGGGAUAACUGAGUGAAGGAGACUGGCAUUCGGUCAUGGAUGUUCCACUAAGAUGAUAUCUAAUCCAUCUUAGAUGUUAUUGGAUGUGUCACAAUGUCAAUGGCAUAUGGAUCAGCCCCAUCUCAAACACUAUGGCAGGCUUGUCAAGCGUCCAUCUGGGGAUGCCUGUAUGACAACUGUACAAUCUGAAGGUCACAGCUUAAUUAACUAACUAACAACUCUUCCUGACCCGUGAAAUGAAUAGGCACCGUGACUGAGGAACUGCUAAGAGAAGAAUAUCAAGAUCAUUGGCAAAUCUGUAAAGUGCAAAAAGACAGGAGAUCCACUAGGUCUGAUAGGAACGCUUUAGAUAACCAUUUUAAUUAUUUAAAAUGAAUAGUAGAAUAAAUGUUGCUGUGUUCAAAUUAUUUUAUUUUACUUUGCGCCAUUACAAUGCCGUUGCCUUUUCUAUAAUUACUAAAACCAGUAACGGUUUCAAUGACAAACAGUAAUUAAAUGUGUGCAAAACUGAGUUAGAUUACAAAUCUAGUUCACUUUAGCCCAGUGUUCUACAAAAAUACAUUUUUAAAUCAAGAGUUUUGGUAAUGAUCUAACUUCUUUUUUUAAACAGAAUGCACAGUGUUAUUGAAUGCUCAUUAAACUACAUGUAAUACUUUGAAAAUACAUAUUUAGACUUGCAAAAAGUCUUUUAAAGCACAUUCAGAUACAUUUUUGUUAAAUUGAUUUGUAAACAUUUA